CUCUCUCUCUCUCUUUCCUGCAGUGUGUUUUAUUGCAGUCUUGCUGGGCGUGGAUCAUGUGAGCAGCCAAUCACAGGUCAGCAGGAGGGCGGGGCUCUGGUCUCAUCAUCACAAUAAAAAGCAGAAGGAAACACCAGCAGACACUGUUUGCUUUCCUUCACGUUUUCAUUGGUCCUGCAGACAAAUCUGCUUGUGCUGCAGUGAAUGAAUCUGAAUGAAGACGCUGCCGCACCGAGCAUUCAAUAUCUGUGAUCAAUACAUGGAUCUGCAGCAGCGGUUCAGCUCAAUCAGGCGCUCGUUCUCCUGUGUGCAGCGUUUCAUUGAGCCGCCAGUGAUUCAUAAAUCCUGCAUGCGCUGGUGUCGUCUGCUGUGAGCCGAGAUGAAGGAUUGGAGGAGCUGCUUUUGUAAGGGAUUCUCCGGCUCAAACAGCUGCACGAGUCCCUGCCGCAGAAAUGCUUGUUAGGGCAGAAUCCAGCCGGAGCUCCAGGGAGCAUCCAGACACAGUGACUAUUCAUAACUGUAAUGGCGAUCAACCACGUCGACAAAAAACAGCCAGCCGAGCGGAGCGGGAGAUGUGCUGAAAACACACAUUUAUGGGGAAUACUUACUGUAUCAAAACUCGAAACGCUGUCCAAAAGCAUCAUUCUAGACCAUUGCACACAGACAAUGCAUCACGUCAAGAGGUUUACUGUAGUAGUGUACUCUAGAACAACAACAAGACAGGCUAAAGUCACUCCGAGAGACGAAAACCACAGUAGACGAGUCUAUGAGCAACGCCAAUCCACGAACACACCACUCGCCCCUCAGAGAAAACUGCCAGAUAAACCCAGCGCCAACAUCCUCACUGCCCACGAAAACACACCAAACUGCUGCUUUCACUGCGUUUGGCAUUACAAGACCACCAGUUUCAGACCAGCAUGUGGAGGAUUAGAAAUACUGCAGUGAUUACACAAUCAGAAUGAAUGUAUGGAUGACAUAAAGAGAUACGGAUAAGAUGAAAAAUAAAAGGGAAAUCCUGGGA